CGUCAUCCUAGGUCCUCUGGCCACUAAUACAUCUGGGAGAUUAUUUGUGUCUUCCUUAGUGAAGACAGAUCCAAAGUACCUGUUCAACGUGUCUGCCAAGCGUCUGGAUAGAAGUGAGGCAUCUAGAUAGUUCCAAGAUACAGGUAAAAGGUAGAUGUUG